rnacentral:lncRNA from 1 species
GGUGGACUUUACGGUUAACCUGAACAGGUCUUGGAAAAAGGACUUUAAACAUUCUCCUGUUCUGUGGAAUAAGUAUACUUUUUUCUGGACAUACACCUUGUCAGUGAGUUCCAUGUGAUACUAGAGUUGCAUAGAUUUUUAACCUUUACGCCAAUGAAGAUCUGAGGCAAACAUUGCCCCUUUUUUAGAAGUUUGCAUUUGUCACUGAUAACUGUAAUAAUUGAUCUUGUUGAAAAGCCUGGGAAAUGAAGAUCUGAUAUGUCACUUUUACCGGCUUCCUCAACUGAAAAAGAAUACAAUGAAACACGCUGAGAAUUUUUGUGCUUUCUCAGUCUUGCUGAUGAUCUUUCUAUGGGCCUGAAGCGUGGAGAGUGCCAGAGAGGCUGAUCCUCAGCAGUGUGGCAGAGGAAAGUUGGGUGCGACUAAGGGGUAUGCGGUGCCCACAUGCCACUGGGUCCUCAGCAGUACCACCUGAUUGGAAGUGAUAUUGGUGGAAGACAACAUUUUGCCGCUUGGAAUUCUCACCUCCACACCAAAGAAGUACUGUUUUUGUCAUUUGCACCAGCUUCUUUCUCCAGGAAAGAUCAAAACGAUGCACUGCAAGUGUGAUUGGUCCAGAUAGCUGCCUUAUCCAACUGCCUCCUUUGGACCACUUCAUCAUGGGACAGCUUGAUGCAAUCUACUUGACAAGACCCUGGAACCCCACACCCCUCAUGGAACCAGUGUCCACCUCCCAGUCACAGUGUGACCCCAGGGAACUCUUGCCUGCUUGCUUUAAACCCACCACUUAAAAGUCUCCACAGAAAACCUGUUUGAAUAGUACCCUUGACCCAAUAAGGGCAUUGGCCCCUGGGUGUCUCUCUCUCUCUCUCUCUCUCUCUCUCCCUCUCUCUCCCUCUCUCUCUCUCGCUCCCUGACCUCUGCGUGUGGACUCCAGGCAUGCCAUAUACCCCUCAGGACCUGAAGCAAAAGAAUGAAUUAAAGAAAACUCCAGAGAAUGAGCUGACAACCUACUCCCUGGUCAGUGGCUCUCCAUGCCUACCUGUGGUCUCUUGGACACCCUUGCAGAAGAUGACUUCCUGGGAACUCUUCUGGGAGUGAAUGUUAUCAGCAAAUUCCCAAAACAACACCCCUUAGACAAAAAGCCUCCUCACCUAUGCAUUGCCUAGACCACCCACUAAAGGUGAUGGCCACAAAGAGGUGGAUUUGUUGAGUUGGUGCCAUUCCUUCUACUGCCAGCUUCACCAAAACAAUGACACAGUCUUCCUUCCGCAUGGAGACUCUUCUCUUUCCUGUGUUGCAGUGGAUGCCUCCUGCAGAUAAGAAAUGCUUAACUGAGAAAUGCUCAUGUUGGGAUAUCAUCGAUGAGACUUUAAUUUGGGCAUGGUGACUGUUUCCCUUGCUGCCACUUGACUCAAUCCCAGGAGCCUCAGUAGAGGAUAUAAUAUUACACAAGAUGCUCAAAAUGGUGGAAUUGCUCAGUGCUCCCA